rnacentral:rRNA from 1 species
AUGGGCACAGUUGGGGCUGUCCUCAGAGAUGAUAAAGAGAGGUUCAUUGUCGGUGGAAGCUGGAGGACUGACUGGUGCGGUCAUGUAUUAGCAGCAGAAGUAUUGGCUCUAAGGUUCGGCCUAGUUCUUGCACAAAAGGCGGGUUGCAAUCAUUUUGUCGUCAACUCUGACAAUAUGGGAGUGAUUGACACAAUGAAGAAUGGAGGACAAUUGGUGGGAGCAGCGACAAUAGUGUUUGAUGAUUGCUAUUUCAUGGCUUGUGAUUUUUCUUCUGUUAGGUUUGAACAUUGUAAUGGGGAAGUAAAUAAAGUGGCUCAUGAACUUGCUAGGCUAGCGAAAUUUUCCAUCACUAGGGAUUGAUUUGAGAACCCUAUGAAUGAUAUUGUACCUUUACUUAUUGACGAUGUAACAACUAUUUCUAAUUAA